UGUAUGAAAAUAGUUGAAUUCAGAGACAAAACAUUCAGAUACUUAAUUUCAGUGCAAAAAAAAAUUCAGUGCUAGAAAUUCAGUGGCUUUUAUAAUUCAAAAUCUGAUGAGACAGAUGUACUUCCGUACGGUUCACGUAUGUGCAUUCACGCAGGCAUGUGUGUUUUUGUUGAAUUUGUCUUUUGUAGAUGCGUGUUUUUGUUAAUAAGGGAAACGGGGCCGUUGGUGUUGAAUGUGCCUUUGCUGUAUUGUUCCUUUUUUUCCUGCAGAUUAAGCAGCAGUUUAUGAUGUUUGGACUCUGGACACUUUCUGAGUGUUUACACGACUUUUACUCCCAAUAACAUCUGUUAUUUCAUCGUCUCUGGAACACGACAUCGAACCUGGAGCCGUCACUGAUAGCGUUUUUUCAUCUUCUGUGUUAAUGCUUUUCUUUGUUGCUCUGGAAAAAAAACAACAAAAUCCCACGAGAAAUUUAUGAUGGCAUAUUAAGGGCCACAUCAGAAAAAUAAAACUUAGAAUAAAGUUGUAAUAUUUUGAGAAUAAAGUCAUAAUGUUAUGAGAAUAAAGUUGUAUGUAAAAAAAAAAAAAAAAAAUCAUAAUUUAACGAAAAUAAUGUACUUUUUUGAGAGUAAAGUCAUAAUCCCACUAGAAACUGACAACAGUGCAUUAGGGCCACAUCAGAAAAAUAAAAAGUUAGAAUAAAAUUGUAGUAUUUUAAGAAUAAAGCCAUAAUGUUAUGAGAAUAAAGUUGGAAUUAAAAAAAAACUCAAUUUAACAAAAAUAAUGUCAUACUUUUUUGACAUUAAAGUCAUAUUUUGAAAAUAAAUUUGCAAUAGUGCGAUAAAAAAUCAUAAUUUAUAAGUUGUAAGCCUUGUUGAUGACAGAGGUUCCGGUUACAGCGCUAGCUAAAACCCGUAAUUUAAUGAGAAAGUUGAAUAUGACAAGAGUCAGAAUUUUACGAGAAUGAAGUUGUUAUAUUAUGAGAAUAAUAUCAUAUUUUGAGAAUAAAGCCAAAAUAUUACAAGAAUAAUAUCGUAAUUUAAAAACAGGAGGUGAAAACAUAAAAAUUUACGAGAAUAAAGUCAUAAUUUCACCAGCGCUAGCCCUGCAGUCGACCACCUGCAGUCACUUCCUUCUCCACAAAAGAGGGAAUUUGCGCCAAAUCCUUUCGGCGAACUGUCUUCAAAGUCCUUCGACUAAUGCUAAUGUGUUGAUGGUGGGCGGGGCUAAUAGGCUCAGUAUUUGGCCUUUGUAUGUAAACCCCAAAUGAAAGUAGAACCUCAGAAUGUUCCACGAUCUCCAUUAUGUGACAAAUGGGUACGACUUUAUUCUGGUAAAUUAUGAUAUUUGUCCCGCCUGUUUUUAAAUCAUGACUCUUUUUGUAUUCGACUUUAUUCUCCAAAAACUUACAGGUUUUAUCUCGAUAUUUUACGACUUCAUUCUCGUACUGAGAAGUGUUUUUAUUUUCCCAUGUGGACCUAACACGCCGUCGUAAAACUGAAUUCACUUAAGACUUUUUUUCCCCAAAACGUCAAGUAUUUUCCAGUUGAAUUUGUACUGUACAUCAUAUUCUUUGCAUCAAAUUUCCACAAUUGAUGAGCAAGAUGUAGUUUUUUUAAAAUAUGUAUUUCAGCAAAAUUACCAUCCAUCUACGUUUCAGUUCUGUCUGAAAUGAAGACGAUUCGGUGUCAGACUUUUCUGUGUCUUCACCAAGAAACGGAUUUUUCAGAAAAGUUCAAGGUUCAGUUAUUAUUAGAAAUGUGGAUGUAGUUUAUUUUUGUUUAGUGCUUUAGUUUCAAACCAAAUAUGGAUGAAGCAUUUAAGUUCUUCGGGGAAAAUCAGUGGAAUUGGAUCAUCUGAGCUGGAUCUGAAGGUGAACAGGUACUGAGCAGACCUUCACCUGCGGGUACUGAGCAGACCUUCACCUGCGGGUACUGAGCAGACCUUCACCUGCGGGUACUGAGCAGACCUUCACCUGCAGGUACUGAGCAGACCUUCACCUGCGGGUACUGAGCAGACCUUCACCUGCGGGUACUGAGCAGACGUACACAUCUGAUCCUGACAUGGUUUAGUCGGUGGUUUGUCUUCAGCUGCAGGUUUUGGAACGUGUCUUCGUCCUCUAGUCUUGCAGACGUUUGUCCAGAGUCCUCCCACUUUAACUGCUGCGACUUUUUUUUUUUUUGUAUUUUGUACGUAGAAAUCUUCAUUGAGACAGAAGCACUGUACAAGCUGUUGUAUUAAACCACUAAUUACAGCAUCAGUUACUAAUAGUUACAACAAAUGUCACAAAUGUUCAUGAAAUAAAGUGUUGGAUGUCUGCUCUUGA